rnacentral:rRNA from 1 species
UACGUAGGGUGCGAGCGUUGUCCGGAAUUAUUGGGCGUAAAGAGCUCGUAGGCGGUGUGUCACGUCGGCCGUGAAAACCUGCAGCUUAACUGUGGGCGUGCGGUCGAUACGGGCAUCACUGGAGUUCGGCAGGGGAGACUGGAAUUCCUGGUGUAGCGGUGAAAUGCGCAGAUAUCAGGAGGAACACCGGUGGCGAAGGCGGGUCUCUGGGCCGUAACUGACGCUGAGGAGCGAAAGCAUGGGGAGCAAACAGG